rnacentral:rRNA from 1 species
CUACGGGAGGCACCAGUGGGGAAUAUUGCACAAUGGGCGCAAGCCUGAUGCAGCCAUGCCGCGUGUAUGAAGAAGGCCUUCGGGUUGUAAAGUACUUUCAGCGGGGAGGAAGGGAGUAAAGUUAAUACCUUUGCUCAUUGACGUUACCCGCAGAAGAAGCACCGGCUAAGUCCGUGCCAGCAGCCGCGGUAAUACGGAGGGUGCAAGCGUUAAUCGGAAUUACUGGGCGUAAAGCGCACGCAGGCGGUUUGUUAAGUCAGAUGUGAACUCCCCGGGCUCAACCUGGGAACUGCAUCUGAUACUGGCGAGCUUGAGUCUCGUAGAGGGGGGUAGAAUUCCAGGUGUAGCGGUGAAAUGCGUAGAGAUCUGGAGGAAUACCGGUGGCGAAGGCGGCCCCCUGGACGAAGACUGACGCUCAGGUGCGAAAGCGUGGGGAGCAAACAGGAUUAGAUACCCCUGUAGUC